UACAGAGGUUGCAAGCGUUGUUCGGAUUUAUUGGGCGUAAAGGGUUCGUAGGCGGACCGGAAAGUCAGAUGUGAAAUCCCACAGCUCAACUGUGGAACUGCAUUUGAAACUUCCGGACUAGAGUGUGAGAGGGGUAAAGGGAAUUCCCGGUGUAAGGGUGAAAUCUGCAGAGAUCGGGAGGAACACCAGUCGCGAAGGCGCUUUACUGGCUCACUACUGACGCUCAGGAACGAAAGCUAGGGUAGUAAACGGG
rnacentral:rRNA from 1 species